rnacentral:rRNA from 1 species
GAUGAACGCUGGCGGCGUGCCUAAUACAUGCAAGUCGAGCGAACAGAUGAGGAGCUUGCUCCUCUGACGUUAGCGGCGGACGGGUGAGUAACACGUGGAUAACCUACCUAUAAGACUGGGAUAACUUCGGGAAACCGGAGCUAAUACCGGAUAAUAUAUUGAACCGCAUGGUUCAAUAGUGAAAGACGGUUUUGCUGUCACUUAUAGAUGGAUCCGCGCCGCAUUAGCUAGUUGGUAAGGUAACGGCUUACCAAGGCAACGAUGCGUAGCCGACCUGAGAGGGUGAUCGGCCACACUGGAACUGAGACACGGUCCAGACUCCUACGGGAGGCAGCAGUAGGGAAUCUUGCGCAAUGGGCGAAAGCCUGACGGAGCAACGCCGCGUGAGUGAUGAAGGUCUUCGGAUCGUAAAACUCUGUUAUUAGGGAAGAACAAAUGUGUAAGUAACUAUGCACGUCUUGACGGUACCUAAUCAGAAAGCCACGGCUAACUACGUG